rnacentral:rRNA from 1 species
GAUGAACGCUGGCGGCGUGCCUAAUACAUGCAAGUCGAGCGAACGGACGAGAAGCUUGCUCUUCUGAUGUUAGCGGCGGACGGGUGAGUAACACGUGGAUCACCUACUUAUAAGACUGGGAUAACAUCGGGAAACCGGAGCUAAUACCGGCUAAUAUUUUGAACCGCAUGGUUCAAAAGUGAAAGACGGUCUUGCUGUCACUUAUAGCUGGAUCCGCGCUGCAUUAGCUAGUUGGUAAGGUAACGGCUUACCAAGGCAACGAUGCAUAGCCGACCUGAGAGGGUGAUCAGCCACACUGGAACUGAGACACGGUCCAGACUCCUACGGGAGGCAGCAGUAGGGAAUCUUCGGCAAUGGGCGAAAGCCUGACGGAGCAACGCCGCGUGAGUGAUGAAGGUCUUCGGAUCGUAAAACUCUGUUAUUAGGGAAGAACAUAUGUGUAAGUAACUGUGCACAUCUUGACGGUACCUAAACAGAAAGCCACGGCUAACUUCGUG